ACGGCUCAGUAACACGUGGCCAACCUGCCCUUAGGACAAGUAUAACCCCGGGAAACUGGGGAUAAUCCUUGAUAGGUGAGGAAUUCUGGAAUGAGUCUUUGCUUAAAGGACGUGCAGAUCACGCUUCUGUGCGUUGCCUAAGGAUGGGGCCGCGGCCGAUCAGGUUGUUGGUGAGGUAACGGCUCACCAAGCCUAUAACCGGUACGGGCCGUGAAAGCGGAAGCCCGGAGACGGGCACUGAGACAAGGGCCCAGGCCCUACGGGGCGCAGCAGUCGCGAAAACUCCGCAAUACGCGAAAGCGUGACGGGGCUAUCCCGAGUGCUAUUCGAUGAGAGUAGCUUUUCCUCAGUGUAAAGUGCUGGGGGAAUAAGGAGGGGGCAAGACUGGUGUCAGCCGCCGCGGUAA
rnacentral:rRNA from 1 species